rnacentral:rRNA from 1 species
GUCUAUGGUGAUGCCACCCUGAACAAGCCCCAUCCUGUCUGAUCUCGGAAGCUAAGCAGGGUCAGGCCUGGUUAGUACUUGGAUGGGAGACCACGUAGGAAGACCAGGUGCUGUAGGCA